AAUUUUUACUCUUAUAAAAAGGGGGAAGACCUAAUCUCGACUUAGAGAAAUGACUUGAUUUAGCUUUCUUUAUUCACAACUCAGCUAAGAAUUCAACCUGCGUAGAAAAGUAGAAAAAAGUUGGUAGACAGUUGAGGUCGAGCCAUCACUCUCUUUAAUGAAUAGUCUAUUAUUUGAAUUUGUUCUUGCAUAUAAGUAUAUCGAGAUUGCCUGAUGAUGCAUUUAUAUCGAGC
rnacentral:lncRNA from 1 species